CACCCAAUUGUUCAAAAUUUAUCUAUAAAUUGAGAACCAAAUCCAACACAAUUAUCAUCCAAAAAUACUCGAAUAUCAUCGUCCAAAUUUCAAUCUCCAAUAGCAUGGGUGCUAAAAUAAUCACUACUAUUCUUGAGAUUUUGCUCCUCAUAGUUCUCAUAAUGUCUUCUCAAGUUGUUGUAGCCAGGGAACUUGUACAGCCUACCCUUGUGGAAUGUGAUAGGACGACAAAGCUUGAUCCUGCUCCACCGUCGUACCAAGCCAACUGCAUCUACACUCCGCCCAAGCACAUCCAUCAUCCUUGAGUAUUCAAGCUCGAACUAGAGAAUUUGGCAAUCAUAUCAAUAUAGUAGUUUGUAUUUUAUAAGUAUUUUGUUUUCGUGUUAUAGAAAAGGUUUUGCGCCUUUGGUAUAA